rnacentral:misc_RNA from 1 species
GUAGGUGAACCUGCGGAAGGAUCAUUAUUGAAUAAACCUGGCAUUUGGUUCUGCAGCUGGCUCUUCUUGGGCAUGUGUUCGCCAUUGUCAUCUUUAUCUCUCCACCUUGUGCACCUCUUGUAGACCUGGACGGAUAAAACUUUUUACUUUCUUCUCAGAGGGCAACCUCUGGUCUUGAGGAUGUGCAUCUCCUUUGUUGGGGUGCUCUCCUUGUUUAAAAGAAAAAAAAAGUUGUCCAGGCCUAUGUCUACACACACACCCAUUGAAUGUAACAAAAUGUAUCUAUGGGCCUUUGUGCCUAUAAAAACUUAUACAACUUUCAGCAACGGAUCUCUUGGCUCUC